AAUUCAGUGGCCUACUGGUUAGCGCUUCGGACUUGUAACCGGAAGGUUGCCGGUUCGAACCCCGACCAGUAGGC
rnacentral:tRNA from 1 species